rnacentral:misc_RNA from 1 species
UGAGGAAGGUGUUCCAAGUUCUACGUGAGAAUGAGCUAUAUGUGAAAAAGGAGAAAUGCUCAUUCGCACAAUCGGAGGUGAUGUUCUUGGGCCACCGUAUUGCUGGGGGAACCAUCAGCAUGGACACAGCCAAGGUACGUGCUAUUUACGAUUGGGAGCCUCCUUCCAAUGUCUCGGGUUUGCGUUCUUUCCUUGGCUUGGUCAAUUACUACCGACGGUUUAUCCAAGGGUACUCCAAGAGGGCUACUCCUUUGACAAACUUGCUUAAGAAAAAUGUCCCUUGGGUGUGGGACACUGUGUGCCAGCAUGCGUUUGAGGAUCUUAAGCAAGCUGUGAUGGAGGAACCAGUGCUGGUGUUGCCUGAUUUCUCUAAGCCCUUUGAAGUC